UGCCGGGGCACUUCUGACAACAUAACCACUACAGAGUGCUGUAGUGGUUAUGGUGACUGGAGUGUUCCUUUA